UGCCAGACUCCUACGGGAGGCAGCAGUGAGGAAUAUUGGUCAAUGGGCGGGAGCCUGAACCAGCCAAGCCGCGUGAAGGAAGAAGGCGCCAGGCGUCGUAAACUUCUUUUGUCGGGGAACAAAGGGCGCCACGUGUGGCGUUGUGAGUGUACCCGAAGAAAAAGCAUCGGCUAACUCCGUGCCAGCAGCCGCGGUAAUACGGAGGAUGCGAGCGUUAUCCGGAUUUAUUGGGUUUAAAGGGUGCGUAGGCGGAACAUUAAGUCAGCGGUAAAAUCGAGGGGCUCAACCCCUUUAAGCCGUUGAAACUGGUGAUCUUGAGUGGGCGAGAAGUAUGCGGAAUGCGUGGUGUAGCGGUGAAAUGCAUAGAUAUCACGCAGAACUCCGAUUGCGAAGGCAGCAUACCGGCGCCCAACUGACGCUGAAGCACGAAAGCGUGGGUAUCGAACAGGAUUAGAUACCCCCGUA
rnacentral:rRNA from 1 species